rnacentral:rRNA from 1 species
GAGUUUGAUCAUGGCUCAGGAUAAACGCUGGCGGCGUGCCUAACACAUGCAAGUCGAACGCGCGCUUCUCGCAAGAGGGGCGUGAGUGGCGGGACGGGUGAGGAACACAUGGGGUACCUACCCUUGAGUGAGGGAUACCGGCGAGAAAUCGCCGACAAGCCCGCAUACGGUCUUUCUUGCUUGAGAGAGUGAGAGAGAAGAAAGUCGCGAGACGCUCGGGGAUGGGCCUGUGGCCGAUUAGCUAGCUGGUGGGGUAAGGGCUCACCAGGGCGACGAUCGGUAGCUGGUCUGAGAGGACGAUCAGCCACACUGGGAUUUGAGAACGGCCCAGACUCCUACGGGGGGCAGCAGUGAGGAAUUUUCCGCAAUGGUCGCAAGACUGACGGAGCAACGCCGCGUGCAGGAAGACGGCCUCGGUU